UUUUUUUUUUGGCAUGAUUGACUGAAUAUUGUUUAUGUCAUUUCAUUUAUAAAAUCCACGUGGCUCUGUGAAUUAAAGCCUGACUUAUAAAAUCAUUUGUCCUCUCUUCCUUUUAUAAAAUUAUUAUUAACUUCCUGAAAAGAAAAGAGAGAGAGAAAAAAAACAUUCCAUUUGCCUUAGGAAAUAAAACGACACGUCGUUUCUGCACUUAGAUAAAACGACAAAAAGAAAAGAAAAGAAAAGAAAAGAAGAAGUUGAAUUGUGGAGGGAAGAAAGAAAAGUUUGGAUUUUUGGAGGAAAAUGGGGUAUGGUCUUAAUCACUGCACGUUUUCUCGUGAUUCGUGUACAAAAACUUAAAACCCUCAUUAAACCCAAAGAUCAACCACAGCUACACCAGAUCAUGGAGACCCAUAUACAACAAAAACACACUCACAAGAAUACAUACUUCUCUCUCUUCACUUCAGCCCUCUCUCUCUCUUCAUUUCUUUCUUUUUAUUUUCUCUGUAUGUACAUAUAUAGAUACAGAGUGUGUGUUUGAAAGAGAGAGAGAGUGAGCGAGUGAAGAGGGUUACUGUCUUUUAAGCUAGGGCUUCUGAGAUGGCAUUUGCAAAUGAGCUUCAUUCUGGUUUUCAUGGUGUUUUGUUUUCUACAUUCUUCUCUAAACAACUUUUAUUGGGUUACGGUUUCUUCUCCACAAGAUUAAGAGAGUGCAGUGAUCCAUGUACAGAUGAGGAGUCUCCCUCUGUUAUUGCACCAUUGGAAUAUGUAAACCGAUAGGUGUAUAUGCUGAGUAGGGAAUGAAGCCGUUGGUCCGUCAAGCAUGUCAAUAGGAGGUGUUGUUGAAUUGACAUUAUAUUUGUAAUGAUGUUUACAAAUACUCAGUUUAACAUAUUUUUGGAUUGUGCUUGUUAUUAUUAUUAUUAUUAUUAGCUCAUUGUUAUAGUCAAAUCAAUCUACUUUGCACUCUUUGGUAACUACCUAUUUACUACCAAUUCAUAUCAAAAGAAAA